rnacentral:lncRNA from 1 species
AUGAUUCCUUACAUAUACUAAAUAUACAUCACCAAGAUUAAUGAAUUAGCUACACACUUUAUAAUAUAGGGUUCAACUAAUUCUACAAAAUACAAAAAGGAUUCCAUCAGAGUAAAAUCAAUUAAGAAGCACUCAUUAUCUACUAGUUCGCGAGGAGGUCCAAGUAAGCAUCCAGAGGCAGGUUGAGGGACUGACCUUCUCUAUUACAUCAUCUGAGGAUGGAU